rnacentral:tRNA from 3 species
UACUAGAGAGCUUGGAUAAGCAUUAGGCUUUUAACCUAAAAAGAAUAAACAAAUUUAUUUCUAGUAA